CCUACGGGAGGCAGCAGUGGGGAAUAUUGGACAAUGGGCGAAAGCCUGAUCCAGCAAUGCCGCGUGAGUGAUGAAGGCCUUCGGGUCGUAAAGCUCUUUUACCAGGGAUGAUAAUGACAGUACCUGGAGAAUAAGCUCCGGCUAACUCCGUGCCAGCAGCCGCGGUAAUACGGAGGGAGCUAGCGUUGUUCGGAAUUACUGGGCGUAAAGAGUACGUAGGCGGUUAUUCAAGUCAGAGGUGAAAGCCCGGGGCUCAACCCCGGAACUGCCUUUGAAACUAGAUAACUAGAGUCUUGGAGAGGUUAGUGGAAUUCCGAGUGUAGAGGUGAAAUUCGUAGAUAUUCGGAAGAACACCAGUGGCGAAGGCGACUAACUGGACAAGUACUGACGCUGAGGUACGAAAGCGUGGGGAGCAAACAGGAUUAGAUACCCUGGUAGUCCACGCCGUAAACGAUGAUAACUAGUUGUUCGGUCACUUGGUGACUGAGUGACGCAGCUAACGCAUUAAGUUAUCCGCCUGGGGAUACGGUCGCAAGNUUAAAACCNCAAAUGAAUUGACGGCUGAGACGUGCCGACGACGACGACGAGGGAGGUAGG
rnacentral:rRNA from 1 species